AACGAACGCUGGCGGCAGGCUUAACACAUGCAAGUCGAACGCCCCGCAAGGGGAGUGGCAGACGGGUGAGUAACGCGUGGGAAUCUACCUAGUUCUACGGAACAACAGAGGGAAACUUCUGCUAAUACCGUAUACGCCCUAAGGGGGAAAGAUUUAUCGGAAUUAGAUGAGCCCGCGUUGGAUUAGCUAGUUGGUGAGGUAAUGGCUCACCAAGGCGACGAUCCAUAGCUGGUCUGAGAGGAUGAUCAGCCACACUGGGACUGAGACACGGCCCAGACUCCUACGGGAGGCAGCAGUGGGGAAUAUUGGACAAUGGGCGCAAGCCUGAUCCGGCCAUGCCGCGUGAGUGAUGAAGGCCUUAGGGUUGUAAAGCUCUUUCAGUAGGGAAGAUAAUGACGGUACCUACAGAAGAAGCCCCGGCUAACUUCGUGCCAGCCGCCGCCGUAAUAC
rnacentral:rRNA from 1 species